UGUCAAGGGAUGGGAAUCGAACCCAUGACCUUCCGCCUACCGGGCAGAUGCCAUGACCACUAGGCUACCCUGGAC
rnacentral:tRNA from 1 species